CAGUAGCCACGGGAAUACGGAGGGAGCUAGCGUUGUUCGGAAUUACUGGGCGUAAAGCGCGCGUAGGCGGUUACUCAAGUCAGAGGUGAAAGCCCGGGGCUCAACCCCGGAACUGCCUUUGAAACUAGGUGACUAGAAUCUUGGAGAGGUCAGUGGAAUUCCGAGUGUAGAGGUGAAAUUCGUAGAUAUUUGGAAGAACACCAGUGGCGAAGGCGACUGACUGGACAAGUAUUGACGCUGAGGUGCGAAAGCGUGGGGAGCAAACAGGAUUAGAUACCCCUGUAGUCCCUGUCUCUUAUAC
rnacentral:rRNA from 1 species